CACACACACAUAGCCAGAUAAACACACACAUAUAGCCAGACAAACACACACAUAUAGCCAGACAAACACACACACAUAUAGCCAGAUAAACACACACACAUAGCCAGAUAAACACACACAUAUAGCCAGAUAAACACACACACACAUAGCCAGAUAAACACACAUAGCCAGAUAAACACACACACACAUAGCCAGAUAAACACACACACAUAUAGCCAGAUAAACACGCACACAUAGCCAGAUAAACACCACACACAUAGCCAGAUAAACACACACACACA